UACGGAGGGUGCGAGCGUUGUCCGGAAUCACUGGGCGUAAAGAGCUCGUAGGCGGUUUGUCGCGUCUAUCGUGAAAGUCCGAGGCUCAACCUCGGAUCUGCGGUGGGUACGGGCAGACUAGAGUGAUGUAGGGGAGACUGGAAUUCCUGGUGUAGCGGUGAAAUGCGCAGAUAUCAGGAGGAACACCGAUGGCGAAGGCAGGUCUCUGGGCAUUAACUGACGCUGAGGAGCGAAAGCAUGGGGAGCGAACAGG
rnacentral:rRNA from 1 species